UUAGAAUGCUGAGCAUGCUGCUGAGA
rnacentral:piRNA from 1 species